AUUGAACGCUGGCGGCAGGCCUAACACAUGCAAGUCGAACGAGUGGCGGACGGGAGAGUAAUGUAUGGGAAACUGCCUGAUGGAGGGGGUUAACUACUGGAAACGGUAGCUAAUACCGAAUAGCAUGAGAUGUGCCAAGAUCGGAUUUGCUAGUUGGUGGGGUAACGGCUCACCAGGGCGACGAUCCCUAGCUGGUCUGCGAGGAUGACCGGCCACACUGGAACUGAGACACGGUCCAGACUCCUACGGGAGGCAGCAGUGGGGAAUAUUGCACAAUGGGCGCAAGCCUGAUGCAGCCAUGCCGCGUGUAUGAAGAAGGCCUUCGGGUUGUAAAGUACUUUCAGCGGGGAGGCGUUACCCGCAGAAGAAGCACCGGCUAACUCCGUGCCAGCAGCCGCGGUAAUAC
rnacentral:rRNA from 1 species